GAUGAACGCUAGCUACAGGCUUAACACAUGCAAGUCGAGGGGAAACGACAUCGAAAGCUUGCUUUUGAUGGGCGUCGACCGGCGCACGGGUGAGUAACGCGUAUCCAACCUUCCGUUAAGUAGGGAAUAGCCUUGCGAAAGUAAGAUUAAUGCCCUAUGUGGUGUUUUGAGGACAUCUGAAGAGCACCAAAGGUUUACCGCUUAACGAUGGGGGAUGCGUCUGAUUAGGUUGUUGGCGGGGCAACGGCCCACCAAGCCUACGAUCAGUAGGGGUUCUGAGAGGAAGGUCCCCCACAUUGGAACUGAGACACGGUCCAAACUCCUACGGGAGGCAGCAGUGAGGAAUAUUGGUCAAUGGGCGAGAGCCUGAACCAGCCAAGUAGCGUGCAGGAUGACGGCCCUAUGGGUUGUAAACUGCUUUUAUAAGGGAAUAAAGUGGGUCACGUGUGACUUUUUGCAUGUACCUUAUGAAUAAGGACCGGCUAAUUCCGUG
rnacentral:rRNA from 1 species